CCCCUGCUGCUGUGGUGGCCACAGACUCUCAGGAGACCAGUGAAGAUCCAGUUGGAGUGGUGCUGAUCACACAGCUGGAGUGGUCUUUCAGCAGGGCUCUGAAGCAGUUUCCCGGUCCCAGCGGUCCCAGCACACAGCUGCUACCAGAGGCAGUCUUUCAUGGAUACAGGAGGAGUCUCUGAGCCGGUCUACAGUGGAGCGGAUUGGGUCAGACAUCCUGGUUCAACAACAACAACAACAACAUCAUCAUCAUCAUCAUCAUCAUCAUCAUCAUCAAGCAGCAGCAGCAGCCGCAUCAGCAGCUGCAGCAGAAAAAGAUGACCAGGAACUGUUUAGCCUACAGUCAGCUGAAGUCGUAGAUAGAGUCAGAGGAGAGGGCGAACAGGAAGUCAGCAGUGCAGCUUCCAACAGGUCGCCUGUGCAGGUUCUGUCAUCAACCCCUAAAGCAGGGCCCUGACAGCCCUCAAAUACUGUACAUGACAGCUUCCCCGGGGUACCAGGGAAAUACAUCUACUGCCCCUCCAGAGUGUUCUUCCCCUACAAGGCACAGGGCAUGGGGAAGGAGAUGACCUGGGGGUUCAAACUGUUGGACUUCUAUGAGGCUGAGAGACACAAAAAUUCAAAGAGAAGACAGACAAAUGGACUGCUAACCCACCAAACGACAAAUAUAUCCUCUCGCACGUACACGCACGCACACACUCACGCACACAAGACACACCACUGUGCAUUGUCAGGACUGUUUCUUCUGUUUUCAUAGCCAAGCAAUUGUGAUCUUUAGUUUAAUUUAACUGUAUUCACCUUUACUGGACGUCUGGUCUGAUUCAUCAUCAUCAUCAUCAUCAUCAUCAUCAUCAUCAUCAUCAUCCUCACAUAGUCUCUCAGCACCUUUACAUGCACUCUAGUGUUCCCUCUACGUGUGUAAAUGUGUAAUAUUUUAAUAAAUUAUUCCGUAAAUGUAUACCCAUAUUUAGUUGUUAAUUUGUUUUAUAUAUAACAUUUGAAUUAUAUAAAUAAGCAAUGUGUCAAUGUCAGUUUUUAUUGUGUGUUUACGAAUGAGGUUGUUCUUUAUGAAAUAUCUUGGGAGCAUUACUAUGACUGUCAUUUGAUUGAGGAAGUAAAAGUGAUAGAAAAUGAAAUAAAAUUAUACGUAUAAAUA